UACGGAGGGUGCAAACGUUGCUCGGAAUCAUUGGGCGUAAAGCGCACGUAGGCGGACCAUCAAGUCGGAUGUGAAAUCUCUCGGCUUAACCGAGGACGUGCAUUCGAAACUGAUGGCCUUGAGUACGAAAGAGGAUCGCGGAAUUCCCGGUGUAGAGGUGAAAUUCGUAGAUAUCGGGAGGAACACCGGUGGCGAAGGCGGCAUCCUGGACCGGUAUUGGACGCUGAUGAGCGAAAGCCAGGGGAGCAAACGGG
rnacentral:rRNA from 1 species